rnacentral:rRNA from 1 species
GACGUAGGGGGCAAGCGUUAUUCGGAAUUAUUGGGCGUAAAGCGCUCGUAGGCGGGACAGGAAGUCCGUGAAGAAAGACCUGGGCUCAACUCAGGGACCGGCACGGAUACUCUUGUUCUUGAGGCAAUCAGAGGGUGAUGGAAUUCCCGGUGUAGCGGUGAAAUGCGUAGAUAUCGGGAAGAAUACCCGUGGCGAAGGCGGCCAGCUGGGCCAGGUCCGACACUGAGGCGCGAAAGCGUGGGGAGCAAACAGG